rnacentral:misc_RNA from 1 species
GCCUCUGAGUAUCAGCAUAGGAGAAGAUCCUGGUCUGAAGCAAUUUGUCAUCUGAAUAGUAGACUCCAGGAACUAUAAUGGCAGGACAAAAAGCCAGUUGUUCAUUCUCUGCAAAGAAGUUAUCAAUAUUCUUAUUCAAAACCAUGCGACCAACUGGCUGCAAGGGCAAGAUAUCCUCGGGCCAGGUCUUGGUUACAUCUAGAGGGUCGAAGUCAUAUCUAUCUUCAUGAUCAGGGUCAAUAGUCUGAAUGAAAAGCUUCCACUCA